AGGGCUAUAGCUCAGUUAGGUAGAGCACCUUACCGAGAAGGUCUACGGUUCGAGUCCGUAUAGCCCUA
rnacentral:tRNA from 1 species